GCAAACAUAGUUUUAAACCAAACAUUAGACUGUGAUCCUGAAAAUAGAAGUUAAAACCUUCUUGUUUGCC
rnacentral:tRNA from 1 species